UUUUCUAACACCAACAACAAGAGAGAAUAGUUUAUGGACUAAAACUGAAGUCUCAGAGGUGAGAAACAUGGAAGGUGUCAGUGUGUUGUGGACUUGAAUCCAGCUAUGAUAUGCUUUCCCUGAUUUUGCAUUUAACACCGUCUGCCUUGGCUUAGAGGAUUUGACAUGGGUGCUGGGAAUUGCAAUGGGAUCUCUGGAAGAACAAUGCAGGCUUGUAACUAACAAGCCAUCUCUCCAGGAGGAGUGUGGUGGGGACCAGGUACCAGACUUGUUCCUGUGUGGACUCCUAUACCUCCAGGAAUCAGCACUCAGCCCCCAUUUCAUCUCCACAAUCAACUGGUUUAUGGCAUCACUCCAAAUUUUUUGGAUGAAGAAACUAGAGAUUAAAGAAGCCAUGUCACUUGCUCUGGUCACACAGACAGUGGAAGAAGCAGACCCUGAGCUUAUACCUUUUGUGGGACCAUCUUCCCCAGCUUACCACCACAAGCCAUGUCUUCAAGAGGGUCCUGAUACCUUCCAUCCAUUCUCCAGGAGAAGCCACCAUAGACCUGACAGGUUCCAGUUCAUCUGGUUCCUGCAGGUUGCUCAAUGGUUUAGAAUAUAGUUCUGGCCUUGCAGUGGAAUAAACAAAGAACAAGUCUUAGA